AGUCUUAUAUUCAAUAAUGAUAUAAAAUUGCAAAUUUUAAGGAGUAUAUUUAUACUAAGGCUU
rnacentral:tRNA from 1 species